GAGCUCAUAGGUGGGAGAUAAAAUAUACAUACUUACAAUACAUUUAUUGCAUAGUCAAACCAUGGAUCCAGAGAAACAAGUCAAUAAGUCAAUAUCAAGAUGUGCAUGUGUGGCGAAUGAAUGGUGUAUUGUGAUGAUGGUGAAAACAAUGGUGAAAGUCUAAUUCUACUUUUGCUCUUUUGAGGGGAUACAUACCUUUCUUGCACUUUGAAGCUUUUUGAGGAGAAUGAGAUGCUCUAUAUUUUGUUUUUCUUUUCUCUCAGGUGGGUAUCCUGUACCCCUAAUUCUACUGUUGGACAAUUACCUCUCGUCUCAAUUUUUCUUUUCUUCGAGGUUCUGGGCACUUGACCCUUUUUAUUUCCUCGUAUUCACUUUCUUUUAGAGCACUCACCCUCCUGGAAUAAUGUAGCAAGUGGU
rnacentral:lncRNA from 1 species